AGAGUUUGAUCCUGGCUCAGGAUAAACGCUGGCGGCGUGCCUAACACAUGCAAGUCGAACGCUCUGCGCAAGCAGGGAGUGGCGGACGGGUGAGGAACAUGUGGGUAUCUGCCCUUCGGUGAGGAAUACCGGCGAGAAAUCGCCGACAAGACCGCAUACGCUUCGCGAGAAGCAAAGUCGCAAGACGCCGGAGGAGGAGC
rnacentral:rRNA from 1 species